UGUCAAGUCAUCAUGGCCCUUAUGGGCAGGGCUACACACGUGCUACAAUGGCCGGUACAAAGGACUGCAAGACCGCGAGGUUUAGCCAAUCCCAUAAAACCAUUCUCAGUUCGGAUUGUAGGCUGCAACUCGCCCACAUGAAGCCGGAAUCGCUAGUAAUCGCGGAUCAGCAUGCCGCGGUGAAUACGUUCCCAGGCCUU
rnacentral:rRNA from 1 species